rnacentral:rRNA from 1 species
UACAGGGGGUGCAAACGUUGCUCGGAAUCAUUGGGCGUAAAGCGCACGUAGGUGGUCGUUUAAGUUGGAUGUGAAAGCCCUCGGCUCAACUGAGGAAGUGCAUCCAAAACUGAUCGGCUAGAGUACGAAAGAGGGUCGCGGAAUUCCCGGUGUAGAGGUGAAAUUCGUAGAUAUCGGGAGGAACACCGGUGGCGAAGGCGGCGACCUGGGUAGAUACUGACGCUGAGGCGCGAAAGCGUGGGGAGCAAACAGG